UUUGACCUAAUAGAGGGCUACAAAAAAUGGCAUUUAGAACUGGCUCCGCUGUCUUCUUCUUCUUAUCGUUAACUUUCUUCAUUCUGUGUUCUGCCACAGCCAGAAACCCUAGUUUCUUUUCAAAUGAUGAUGAAGCUUGGAGCAUGGUUGGAAGGUCAUUGAAGACAGUAAACCUUGAAGAUUACAGUGAACCAACUGCAAAUCCAGGCCACGAUCCAUGGAAGGCUUGUAAUUGGGGAAAUCAUGUAGAAGGAAGAACUGGCUGCAAUUAAUUUACACCUUUUUACUGCAAAUGUAAUAUUAUCUAAGUUAUUUCACUCAAUGAAGUAAAUGAAAUAUUUGUUUUUUCUUCAUAAAUGCAGUCAAUAAUAUUUAUAACCUUUUA